GGUUAAGUUAAUAAGGGCGCACGGUGGAUGCCUUGGCACUAGGAGCCGAAGAAGGACGUGACAAACGACGAUAUGCCUUGGGUAGCUGUAAGUAAGCGAUGAUCCAGGGAUUUCCGAAUGGGGGAACCCAACAGGUACUACCUGUUACCCGCAUCUGUUAAGGAUGUGAGGAGGAAGACGCAGUGAACUGAAACAUCUAAGUAGCUGCAGGAAGAGAAAGCAAAAGCGAUUGCCUUAGUAGCGGCGAGCGAAACGGCAGGAGGGCAAACCGAAGAGUUUACUCUUCGGGGUUGUAGGACUGCAAUGUGGACUCAAAGAUUAUAGAAGAAUGAUUUGGGAAGAUCAGCCAAAGAGAGUAAUAGCCUCGUAUUUAAAAUAGUCUUUGUACCUAGCAGUAUCCUGAGUACGGCGGGACACGAGAAAUCCCGUCGGAAUCUGGGAGGACCAUCUCCCAACCCUAAAUACUCCCUAGUGACCGAUAGUGAACCAGUACCGUGAGGGAAAGGUGAAAAGCACCCCGGGAGGGGAGUGAAAUAGAACCUGAAACCGUGUGCCUACAACAAGUUC
rnacentral:rRNA from 1 species